CAUUGAACGAAAAAAAAAAUUGGCCAACUCACUAGCAAAACAACUCUUUUAUUUGAUUCUGUAUUAUUUUUGAGGUCCUUGGUUUGGCCAUUUGCCGACCUAUUUUAAAA